GGCAGCAGCUAAGAAUAUUCCGCAAUGGGGGAAACCCUGACGGAGCGACGCCGCGUGGAUGAUGAAGGCCGGAAGGUUGUAAAAUCCUUUUAUACGUGAGGAAUAAGUGGAGUGAGAGAAACGCUUCAUGGUGACUGUAGCGUAUGAAUAAGCAACGGCUAAUUACGUGCCAGCAGCCGCGGUAACACGUAAGUUGCGAGCGUUGUUCGGAAUUAUUGGGCGUAAAGGGCAUGUAGGCGGUAAUGCAAGUCUGGUGUGAAAGGCGGGAGCUCAACUCCCGGACUGCGUUGGAAACUGCAUUACUUGAGUGACUGAGGGGCAAUCAGAAUUCCUGGUGUAGGGGUGAAAUCUGUAGAUAUCAGGAAGAAUACCAAUGGCGAAGGCAGGUUGCCAGCAGAUGACUGACGCUGAGGUGCGAAGGUGCGGGGAGCAAACAGGAUUAGAUACCCUGGUAGUCCGCACAGUCAACUAUGUACACUGGAUGUCUGGUCAGAAGACUGGGUGUCGAAGCAAACGCGAUAAGUGUACCGCCUGGGGAGUAUGCCCGCAAGGGUGAAACUCAAAGGAAUUGACGG
rnacentral:rRNA from 1 species